AGGACGAACGCUGGCGGCGUGCUUAACACAUGCAAGUCGAGCGGUAAGGCACUUCGGUGUACACGAGCGGCGAACGGGUGAGUAACACGUGGGCAACCUGCCCCUAGCUCUGGGACAACACCGGGAAACCGGUGCUAAUACCGGAUACGACACCGAGCGGCAUCUCUCGGUGUGGUAAAGUUUUUUCGGCUAGGGAUGGGCCCGCGGCCUAUCAGCUUUGGUUGGUGGGUAAUGGACCUACCGAAGGCGACGACGGGUA
rnacentral:rRNA from 1 species